rnacentral:rRNA from 1 species
GACGAACGCUGGCGGCGUGCUUAACACAUGCAAGUCGAGCGGUAAGGCCCUUUCGGGGGUACACGAGCGGCGAACGGGUGAGUAACACGUGGGUGACCUGCCCUCAGCUCUGGGAUAAGCCUGGGAAACUGGGUCUAAUACCGGAUAUGACUCCAUGACGCAUGUUGUGGGGUGGAAAGCCUUGUGCGGCUGAGGAUGGGCCCGCGGCCUAUCAGCUUGUUGGUGGGGUGAUGGCCUACCAAGGCGACGACGGGUAGCCGGCCUGAGAGGGCGACCGGCCACACUGGGACUGAGACACGGCCCAGACUCCUACGGGAGGCAGCAGUGGGGAAUCUUGCGCAAUGGGCGAAAGCCUGACGCGGCGACGCCGCGUGAGGGAUGACGGCCUCGGUUGUAA